AGGACGAACGCUGGCGGCGUGCUUAACACAUGCAGGUCGAGCGGAAAGGCCCUUCGGGGUACUCGAGCGGCGAACGGGUGAGUAACACGUGAGUAAUCUGCCCCUAGCUCUGGGAUAGCUCCGGGAAACCGGGAUUAAUACCGGAUACGACCACUUUAGACAUCUGUUGUGGUGGAAAGAAUUUUGGCUAGGGAUGAGCUCGCGGCCUAUCAGCUUGUUGGUGGGGUAACGGCCUACCAAGGCGACGACGGGUA
rnacentral:rRNA from 1 species